rnacentral:misc_RNA from 1 species
UAACGUAACGUAGGGGCACUCUGGGUCCACCUCCCACCCGUGUUUAUCGUACCUUGUUGCUUCGGCGGGCCCGCCUCACGGCCGCCGGGGGGCAUCCGCCCCCGGGCCCGCGCCCGCCGAAGACACACAAACGAACUCUUGUCUGAAGAUUGCAGUCUGAGUACUUGACUAAAUCAGUUAAAACUUUCAACAACGGAUCUCUUGGUUCCGGCAUCGAUGAAGAACGCAGCGAAAUGCGAUAAGUAAUGUGAAUUGCAGAAUUCAGUGAAUCAUCGAGUCUUUGAACGCACAUUGCGCCCCCUGGUAUUCCGGGGGGCAUGCCUGUCCGAGCGUCAUUGCUGCCCUCAAGCACGGCUUGUGUGUUGGGCUCUCGCCCCCCGCUUCCGGGGGGCGGGCCCGAAAGGCAGCGGCGGCACCGCGUCCGGUCCUCGAGCGUAUGGGGCUUCGUCACCCGCUCUGUAGGCCCGGCCGGCGCCCGCCGGCGAACACCAUCAAUCUUAACCAGGUUGACCUCGGAUCAGGUAGGGAUACCCGCUGAACUUAAGCAUAUCUAAGCCGGGAAAGAAAACGCGGUUUACCCGCGGGCUCC